CGAAGAACGACAGAAACCAUGAAGCUCCCUCCUCCCAGCAUCGGUAGGGUUUCAUAGCAUCAACGAAAUUGGCCGCAAUAAUCUGAAAUCGAGCGCGGAAGAACCUGAUUGACAUUAUUCGUCCGUGACAAGUAGAGGAGCUUCUUCACAGUGAAAGGGGACGAAUCUUGUCAGGAAUUAUUCGAUUUUCUUCUGUGCUCCGGCACGCUUGUCUGACAUCUCGCGAAUCUUGCAAAAUUGUAGGGGCCCCUCGACGUGCUCUGUUCUCGGCUGAAUUUGCCGAUUUAAGCAAUGGUAGACGAGAAUCCCAAUCGAAGCAUUGUGCAGUUCAGGUAUGUUCGAUCGCAUCUGUCUACAAGUGCUCUGUUCUCGUUGUUCUUCGUUGACAGACCCAGCGUGGGCUAAGAUGCAUACUGUUGAAUAUUGCUGCUGAUGUUUGUUAGCCCAUUGCUGCGAUGCACUUGUUUCACGAUUGCUGCUGAUGUUUGUUAGCCCAUUGAAUUCUGCGAAGUUUGAAAGCUUCAACUCACGACAGUGAUUGCUGUUUCUCUCUGCACUUAUAACUUGCUCGCCGACUGUGACAUGUUGAUGUGUUUAUGUUGGUUCGAAAAAAACCAGAGAAGCUGAGAAUUGUCUGAGAAGUUACUACUGGUCAGUGAAAUUUGAGUUUGAAAGCGUCAGUGUGAGGACUUUGAUUGCUUUUGUCCUCUGGAGUUAUAAUACUUGCUAAAAUCGUGAGCUGUUUGUGAUCAAUUUGUUGCGAAAAACACCAUAGAAGUUCGGAUCUUGACUGAUACCCUACUGCUGCGCAUUCAUUUUUUCCCAAACAUAGGCUCAUGGAUUUACGCGAGAUGGCUGUCGCUAUUUGUUCGUUUCUGCAUUGUCUUUCUGCUGCGAACUUUUAUUUGUCAUUCAUUUUGUUUUGCAUGUUAUUUGUGGAGGUUUUGCUACAGCAACUGCAUGCAUCAUGGCUCAAAAAGGGGAAAAUAUCAUCGAAUGGAGUGAUGAAAUGGACUUAGCUUUCCUAAACAUAAUGCUUGAGAAGAUGAGAAGAACACACACUACAACAUGUAAGACUAGCACUUGGAAAGAGAUCACAGAUGAAAUGAUCAAUCUUUUUUUCUCGAAAAGCAUCUGUUCUUGCAGAAGGUGAAGGACAAGUAUCAAAUAAUGAAGACAAAUUUCACCUGAUUUUCUGAUGGGAUGCAGACACAAAAACCAUCACAGCCGACUCAGAUGUUUGGGAUAUGUUUAUAAAGAAGAAUAGGGCGUACAAGACUUUUCGGAGCAAGGGCUACAAGCACUACGAUUUGCAGAAGCAACUGUUUAGUUCUUCCGUGGCCACCGGUGUUCUUCGCACAUCCUUGACCAAUCCACCACCAACUUUAGAGGAAGAACGCCGGUUAAAUGCGGAAUUCUUAUCUAGGGGGAAGGGAAAGCAGAAACACCAUGUCGAUCUCGAAGAAGGCUCCGAUAAGAGUGACGACCCCGUCCAUGUUGCAGAGCCCAUUUUAACCGAGUCUCGACGUCGAGUGCCGAAAAGAUCGCAAAGCAAGAGCUAACAAAUGCAGGAGUGCAUGGACAUAUUCAGGGAGAGUUUCACGAAGAACCAACAGGACACCCCACCGUCGGCAAAGAAAAGCAAGUCCGUAUCGAGCCCUGAGAAACCUGAGAAGAAUAGCAUCGAGGAAGCCCUCAAUGAGUUGGCUAAAUUGGAAUCGAGAAUCCCUCAAUCCUUGUUUGUGAAAGCGGGCAAAGCACUCCUUGAUCCGGACUCCCGAAGGCUUUUCAUGUAGUUCAAGGAGGAGUCACGAAUGGAAUGGAUAUUGCAGCUGGAGCAUCCUUGAAGCAAGCGUGAUCACAUCUUUCUUUCUUUUUUCGUCGCAUCGAAAAACAACGUUUUUUUAAUUUUUCUGACUGAACUCGUACUGCUAAUGUUUGUUAUGUGUGUUUGCUUA